UAGGAUUAACAGAGGUCCCGCUCCUGUCCUCCCCAGGAGGCAGCCCUUGCCUCUACCCUUCUGAGGCAGGAGAGGGCACCUCUGCAGGUCUGAAAAAGAAGGGGAGGUAAGCACGAUAUCGUCACACUGGGAGGACCAGUACGGGCAUACCUGUAGCUCCUGGGGUCCCACUGGGUCUGAGGGCGACUUUUCACCUUUUUGGAGGAAAAGAUGUGUUGGAAGACGUUGCUGCUUCUGCUGUUGUAUUAUGACGCUCAGGCCACUCUGUCGCACAGGUGGAGCAGGGCCGUGCUCUUCCCUGGCGCCCACCGGCCAAAGAGAUCCUCGUCGGUGCCCUUGAACCCCGUUCUGCAGAGCUCCCUGGAGGAAGUAGAGCUGCUCUAUGAGUUCCUUCUGGCUGAACUUGAGAUCAGCCCUGACCUGAAGAUCUCCAUCAAGGACGAGGAGCUCUCCUCCCUGCGGAAGGCCUCGGACUUCCGCGCCAUCUGCAAUGAUGUGAUCCCCAAGAGCAUCCCAGACAUCCGGCGGCUGAGCGCCAGCCUCUCCAACCACCCAGGCACCCUCAAGAAAGAGGACUUCGAAAGGACAGCGCUGACCCUGGCCUACACAGCCUACCGCACAGCCUCGUCCCAAGGGCAUCAGAAGGAUAUCUGGGCCCAGUCCCUCCUUAGCCUUUUCCAUGCCUUGAGGCAUGACUUAAUGCGGUCCUCAUGUCCCAGAGCAUCUCCCUGAGAGACUGGCUGGCACCAGGACCAGGGAGCAGGGACCAGCACACAGUAAUCCAGAAAUUCUUCAUUCUCUACUCCAUUUACAGAGACCAGCCACAAAACACAUACCACCAACUCAGAGCAGCAAAGAUAAAACAAGAAACACCGAUGCUCUUUGCCCCUUGUAACUUCUUGACAAGCAUAAGAUUGUGAUUCCUAUCAUAACGUGACCUGGGCUGGAAAAAAGGGCUGGAAUGGUAAUUCAAGAUGCCUCCAGAGGCUGAAUGUUUUGCCUGGUGAAUUGCAGGAGUCUAAGAUAUGCUUUAACAUUGAGUGACUGUAACACAAACACCCAAGAGUGAGGACAGAGCCAGGAGAGACAUAACAGAAGUCUGGGCAUGGCGGGAAAGUGGGGGACAGAUUUCUUUGGUCCUAAGAGAUCAGGGUGCUGGAUUGAAUGAACACCUUUCCAAAGUUCUGUAGUAAGAUAUAAAGAAACUAGAGCUAUAGCCAAAUAAAUACAUUGUUAACCAAGGAUAUACUUCUCAACUUUUCCAAAAGUCCCCAAAAAGAAUCAGUCAGAAAAUCAGUUAUGACCUAUAUAUCUAGACUCUUCUUUCCUGAAGCCUGGUCUAAUGUAGAGGAGAAACAUGAAGGGGGCCAACAGAAAUGCUACUGUCAUGCCUUGACUUUUGAACAGAGAAACCAAGCUAAUGCAGAGAGGGUCAUCCUAACGAAAGAGGUGGCACCAGUGCCACGGCCUGCCCAUCCUAAUGCUAAAAUUAUUGAGCAUUAUCAGAGAAUUAAGUGCUCCAAACAAAAAUGAUUUUCAGAUGACAGAAUUUUACCCUUUCAAACGCCAAAACUUUCAUUUUAGCAAUAUUGACUGGAUAUAUAUGAAAGCCAGUAAGGUUGAAUUUAGUAUAUUGGAAACAUUCUAAUGAAGGAGUUAGAUGAGAUCAUCUCUAAGAUUCCUCUACUUCUGAAAUGUUCACAAGCAUUCAACUAACUGUGAGAUAUUACAGGGAGGACACCUGGACCUGAGAUGUCUCUGCUGGACUGUUUGUAUCAACCCUGAAAGGUCCCAGGCUUUCUUUUUUUUUUUUUUUUUUUUGCGGUACGCAGGCCUCUCACCGCUGUGGCCUCUCCCGCUGCGGAGCACAGGCUCCAGAUGCGCAGGCUCAGUGGCCAUGGCUCACGGGCCCAGCCGCCCCGCGGCACGUGGGAUCCUCCUGGACUGGGGCACGAACCCGUGUCCACUGCAUUGGCAGGCAGACUCUCAACCACUGCGCCACCAGGGAAGCCCAGUCCCAGGCUUUCUUAACUCUGAAUCUGGUGUGAGUUUUUCUGUUGCCUUCCUCACUGUCAGGCGAUAAAAGUAGCAUUUUCUUUGCUACCAACAUAACUCGCCCUUUGCAAUUUGUUCUUUCUUACUGGGCAUCGCCUGAAAAAUAAGAUAGCAAGUCUUGUUAUAAUUCCACAUUAAAUAAGAGUUAAUAGAUGAAGGUCCCUGCUAGGAGUAAAGCACCUGGGUCCUAAUAAAGAUUCCUCACCAGCUCAGAGAUCUUUCCAGCUUCUCGGAGGUUUACAGCUGGGUUCUGGAGGCUAAAGCUGCAGGAAGUCUGAUCUUUGAAUAAACAAGGAUUCACUGGGCUAAAUUUUUUAUUCUGAAAUGGGUAUUUGACAAUUGUCACUGAAUGAAGAUGAAAGCUGGUCUGAACUUCUUUAGAAUCUUUGAAUAAGUGAGCCUCGCCUAGCAGUGCAAGCUGCAUGAUCUUUUGAAGUAAUACCAGGAUGCAGGAACAAGGUGUUUAUCGUCAGAGAAAAAUCCCACUUUGCAUCCCGAUGUCCUCAGGCUCAGAAGACUAAUCAGCCCCUCUGGUUCUCACUCCCUGUGGCUAUAUUGAUCUUUUACCUCCCUCAAAUGCAGACUCUGAUAUAUGCUUUUGUGUUCAAUUUUUCUCUUUCUAAGAUUGCAUGUUCUCUUUCAUGCAGUCACUCCACUUGCCUCUUUCUUUUCAUUGCAGUUGGUGUCUCUGCUGUUCUGUCUUUGGGUCCGGUUCUGAUUAUCUUCAUAUCCAUUCCUCGAGGCAUCUCCCAGUUUCUCCUGCUUGACCCCUCGCUGCCUCUACUUGCCCGUACUCUGUUGCUCACUGUCUCCUUUGGGGAUCACUGUCUGAUUAAAACAAAGUCAAGACAGAGAGCACAGGCUCCGGACGCGCAGGCUCAGAGGCCAUGGAUCACGGGCCCAGCCGCUCCGCGGCAUGCGGGAUCCUCCCGGACCGGGGCACAAACCCGUGUGCCCUGCAUCGGCAGGCGGACUCUCAACCACUGCGCCACCAGGGAAGCCCGGGCACAACCUUUUUAAAGACAAAUGAAAAUUUCGUUUUUAGUAACUAGAUACUUCAACACUAUUUUAGGCUGAAUACAAAUGAAUUGUUUACCCACAAAAAGUUUUAUAGCACUGACUUCAUUUACAAGCAAAAUCAAACAUUCUCCUCACCACCACCACCCCAAAACCCGACUCUUUGCCCAGUGAGCAGUGAGGGAGUAGCCUGGACAGCAACGGACUCUCCCAUUUUGCCUCAUUAAUGCCGCACCGUACACACCACCAUCACAACCCAGUCACAUUUUGUCAUAUUUACUCAAAAAAUAAUUCAGAGUGUGACAUAGUAGUGGAAGCUUGCCUGUGACUCAGUGGAACCCUUCUACCAUUUCUAGACUGCCGGGAAAUUUUAGGAUCUAAAAAUUCUGGAAGUUUCCUCUAUAGUCGGCAUUCUCAUGGCUACCUCUGGUGUCACUCAAGAGACACUGAAAAACAUCUAUAUGCUGAAACCUUCAUAAAGGAGAAUCACGUAAGUGGUAAAUCACAUAAGUGGUAAAGGCCAGAGCACUGGCCUAAAAUUAAAUGCUUGUUAAAUGACUUUACAUGGUGCCCCUGACUUUCCUAACCCAUUUUAAUAUCUUUCAUUUUUUUAUUGUGGUUAAAAAACACAUCAUAUGAAAGUUACCAUCCGAACCAUUUCUAAGCGUACGGUACAGUAAUGUUAAUUACAUGUACACUGUUGUGUGACAGAGCUCCAGAACUUUUUCAUCUUGCAAAAACGAUACCUAUGAAACCACAACUCCGCUUUUCCCUCUCCCCCCAGCCCCUGGCAACUACCAUUCGACUUUCUGUUUCUAAGUGUUUGACUACUUUUGAUACCUCAUAUAGGUGGAAUCUGUCUUACAUUUCUUAAGCAAUGUAUAAAAUUUCCUUAGGAAAAUGUUUUCUUUAUCUAAAAAGUGGAUAGAGUCCUGAAGGAGAACUACUGGUCUUACUAUGUCACUCACAUAAUUUUAUUUAACAAAUAUUCACUUAUGGUGUAAUAAAAAUGUCAUGAUCGAGUUUCCAGGCUUAAUGGAAUCUUUAUUAUCUCAUACUAUCUCACCAAGGAAUUUGAAGUGGCUCAUGGGUUUAACAGAGAAUGUUGACUUCCACAGCUGUUUACUUGUACCCUGAC